CCCGCCCAUCUGUUACUGAACCGGAAAUGAGAUACAGUUUACCUGCGUUGUUUUUAUUCCCGGACCUGCGGUAAUUCAUCUUCAGCGGUCAAGGAUGAACAGCCCUCCUCUUCUGGCUGAAUCGAGUACACACACCCCAAUUAGUGUCGCAUGAUGACCAACAAAGAGAAAGGAGAGGGUAUAGCUGCCACACGAGGAUGAAAAACAAUGGAGUGAGUGCCGGGAGAGAUAUGAAUGGCACUAUACGACGCAGCACCUUGUACGGAAAUAGAGUGGCAGACAGAUCACUUGAACGCAACAUACAUUAGAUCAGCUUUGUGUGAUGGAUGCCAGUGUAAUAUGAGAGGGAGAAGACAUGAAAGAGAGCAGAAAUCCUUUCUCUCUAAGGUGCCUUUUAGCUGAAAACGCAGAGAUAAGAUGUUGAAAUGUAGAAAAAUUGCCAGAAUGAAUCUGAUGGGAAACUUUUCUCCUCCUCAAGACAUUUUUUUUAGCCAUCUUAAUCUGAACGGUGGAAUCUGGCAACCUCACAAGAGCACCUGCAUCCGUCCAGCCUGCCCCGCUUUUGUUCUGGUCUGACCCCCUAACUUUAGCCCCCUAAUUAACCCUACAGAAACUAAUUAAAUACAGCUCUAGUGCAACAGACGCCAAACAGAAAAAAUGAUGACAAAUAAGAAGGAGGAGCAGGACCCAGGCGAGCCAAAGUGACAGGAGAUGCAAACCUUGGCCUCUGAAUCAAGAGACAGGUUUAAAAAGACAAAUUAGAAAAAAAAGAAGCAGGGUGGGAGAUUCAAAAGAGGAGGGUGUUUGGGUUUCAUUCUCCGCCUGCUCUGUCCUCAGCAAGUUGUCACUCUUUUCUGAGCCCUCACAGACCUAUAUUCUUCCUCACAUGCUGUCAUUUUUCAAGGUAUUUUGGUUCUUCCUUUUAUAAGAGUGUGGAUGCCAGCUGCUGUAAUCACAAGCAAACCAGUCACAUGACGCAACUGACGCCCUGAAGAUAUUUGGAAAAGGGUAUAGAGGCAGGAUGGGUAGAGCCGCAGUGAGACAAGAGCAGUGUAGAAUGAGAAAAGGAGGAGGAAGAGGAGGCAGAGGAGGAGGACGAGGAGGAGGAGGGGGGAAAGAAAAAGGUACGGGACAGGAUUGUGAGAAAGAAGAUAUGUGAAUAUGGGUUCAAACCAGCCAAGUGUCUCUGGCAAAGACGCUUCUGCUCCUCGUCCCAGGCAGGCACGGCUCGCUAAGUGAUAGAGAAAGUAAUUAAGAGAAGCCUGUUCAAGUAGAUAGGCCUGUAAAGGAGAUUUGAAGAGGGGAACUGAUUGUGCAUGUCUGAUUCCAGCUCUUCAGAGAGUUCUCAGCCCUGAGGCUUAGCUUUCAAAGGGCCGUCUCUCUCUCUCUCUCUCUCUCUCUCUCUCUCUCUCUCUUUACCUCUCUCUCUCUCUCUCUC